AUUGAACGCUGGCGGCAGGCCUAACACAUGCAAGUCGAGCGGAUGAAGGGAGCUUGCUCCUGGAUUCAGCGGCGGACGGGUGAGUAAUGCCUAGGAAUCUGCCUGGUAGUGGGGGAUAACGUCCGGAAACGGGCGCUAAUACCGCAUACGUCCUGAGGGAGAAAGUGGGGGAUCUUCGGACCUCACGCUCUCAGAUGAGCCUAGGUCGGAUUAGCUAGUUGGUGGGGUAAAGGCCUACCAAGGCGACGAUCCGUAACUGGUCUGAGUGGAUGAUCAGUCACACUGGAACUGAGACACGGUCAAGACUCCUACGGGAGGCAGCAGUGGGGAAUAUUGGACAAUGGGCGAAAGCCUGAUCCAGCCAUGCCGCGUGUGUGAAGAAGGUCUUCGGAUUGUAAAGCACGUUAAGUUGGGAGGAAGGGCAGUAAGUUAAUACGUUGCUGUUUUGACGUUACCAACAGAAUAAGCACCGGCUAACUUCGUG
rnacentral:rRNA from 1 species